AAAUAAGCCCGAUUGUAGCGGAAAUUGUUUUUUUCGGUGGAAAAACCUCAUAGGUUUAUUUGCAUCGUGCUUAUUAAACCUAUGAGGUUUGUAAAGGUGGGGCAAAAAGAUUGUAGCAAAAGCGGGGUUAAAA
rnacentral:sRNA from 1 species